rnacentral:rRNA from 1 species
AAGCCAUGCAUGUCUAAGUAUAAACAAUUAUACAGUGAAACUGCGAACGGCUCAUUAAAUCAGUUAUCGUUUAUUUGAUAGUUUUCUACAUGGAUAACCGUGAUAACUUCAGAACUAAUACAUGACAGCCUUCUGGCGUAUAUAUUAGAUACAAACCAACAGUAUGGUGAUUCAUAAUAUCUUGUCGAACCGAUCUUCGGUGUAUCAUUCAAAUUUCUGCCCUAUCAACUGUCGAUGGUAGGAUCGUGGCCUACCAUGGUAACAACGGGUAACGGGGAAUCAGGGUUCUAUUCCGGAGAGGGAGCCUGAGAAACGGCUACCACAUCCAAGGAAGGCAGCAGGCGCGCAAAUUACCCAAUCCUGACACAGGGAGGUAGUGACAAUAUAUAACGAUCCGGGGCUCUUUGAGUUUCGGAAUUGGAAUGAGUACAAUUUAAACACCUUAACGAGGAACAAUUGGAGGGCAAGUCUGGUGCCAGCAGCCGCGGUAAUUCCAGCUCCAAUAGCGUAUAUUAAUGUUGUUGCAGUUAAAAAGCUCGUAGUUGAAAUUGGGCGGGCUAUUAGUUUAGGCCGCUUCAGGAAGAACUUCUUCCAGUUACUUUGAAAAAAUUAGAGUGUUCAACGCAGGUUUCGCCUGAAUAUAUUAGCAUGGAAUAACAUAACACGACGAGGGUCCAUUUUGUUGGCUUGCAAACCCACGUAAUGAUUAAUAGGGACAGUCGGGGGCGUCAGUAUUGUGUUGUCAGAGGUGAAAUUCUUGGAUUUACACAAGACUAACUACUGCGAAGGCAUUCGCCAAGGAUGUAUUCAUUAAUCAAGAACGAAAGUUAGGGGAUCAAAGAUGAUCAGAUACCGUCGUAGUCUUAACCGUAAACUAUGCCGACUGAGAAUGGGUACCGCUUAUACGGUAUCCGCGCUCUACGAGAAAUCAAAGUGAUCAGGUUCUGGGGGGAGUAUGGUCGCAAGGCUGAAACUUAAAGGAAUUGACGGAAGGGCACCACCAGGAGUGGAGCCUGCGGCUUAAUUUGACUCAACACGGGGAAACUCACCAGGUCCAGACACAAUAAGGAUUGACAGAUUGAUAGCUCUUUCUUGAUUUUGUGGGUGGUGGUGCAUGGCCGUUCUUAGUUGGUGGAGUGAUUUGUCUGCUUAAUUGCGAUAACGAACGAGACCUUGACCUACUAAAUAGCUCUACUUGCGAUUGCAGGUAGCUAGCUUCUUAGAGGGACUAUCUAUUACAAGUAGAUGGAAGUUCGAGGCAAUAACAGGUCUGUGAUGCCCUUAGACGUUCUGGGCCGCACGCGCGCUAC